UUCACAAGCUUGCUCAACUCCUCGUAGAGAAAGAAACCGUUGAUGGAGAAGAGUUCAUGAGUCUCUUCAUUGAUGGAAAAGCUGAACUUUAUGUUUCCUGAUUUCACUUCUAGGCAACAAAAUCUUGUAUAAUAUGUUUCACACAAGCAAGAAAAACGCAAUCAAUUGGCGACUUCAGAAAUAUUAGGAUUUAUAGAAUAUGUAUGUAUAGGCAAGAUACCUGUUACAAUCUUUUUCAAUUUGUUUUUCAGCCACUUUUAAGCUGCUACAUGGCCCGGGAACUGAUAGUAAGAGUAGCAAUCGAAGUGCCAGC
rnacentral:lncRNA from 1 species